UACGUAGGGGGCAAGCGUUGUCCGGAUUUAUUGGGCGUAAAGAGCGUGUAGGCGGCCAUACAGGUCAGCUGUGAAAACUCGAGGCUCAACCUCGAGACGUCGGUUGAAACCGUAUGGCUAGAGUCCGGAAGAGGAGAGUGGAAUUCCCGGUGUAGCGGUGAAAUGCGCAGAUAUCGGGAAGAACACCUAUGGCGAAGGCGGCAUCCUGGCCCAGAACUGACGCUGAGGCGCGAGAGCGUGGGGAGCGAACCGG
rnacentral:rRNA from 1 species